UAACCUGCCUUGUAGCGGGGGAGUAACUAUUGGAAACGAUAGCUAAUACCGCAUAACAAAUGGAUGACACAUGUCAUUUAUUUGAAAGGGGCAAUUGCUCCACUACAAGAUGGACCUGCGUUGUAUUAGCUAGUAGGUGAGGUAACGGCUCACCUAGGCGACGAUACAUAGCCGACCUGAGAGGGUGAUCGGCCACACUGGGACUGAGACACGGCCCAG
rnacentral:rRNA from 1 species